GUUUCUAUUACUUUUAAGUGUGCUUAUUUGGUUAUUUUGAGAAGAUUAUCCUCUUGUGGUUCACUGGGGAAAUGCCACACUCCUUUUAGGUAGAGUGAUCAUUUUUGAAGGAAAUGUUGAUUCUCAACACAACCCAGGUGGCAGAAGAAGGGAAUCCUAGAUUCUCUGCUGACCUGGUUAUCUUGGUCUAGAGCCAGGUGUGUGUAAUCUUUUGGCUUUCCUGGGCCACAUCGGAAGAAGAAGAAUUGUCUUGGGUCACACAUAAAAUACACUAACACUGAUGAUAGCUGAUGAGCUUAAAAAAUCACGAAAAAAUCUCGUACUGUUUUAAGAAAGUUUAUGAAUUUGUGUUGGGCCACAUUCAAAGCCAUCCUGGGCUGCAUAUGGCCCAUGGGCUGCAGGUUGGGCAAGCUUGGUCUAGACCUUGUUGAGGGGAGAUGUCAAUCAACAUUUGUGGGCUGAGAUUGCUUCUGCCCCUUGGAAGUGAGCUUGGGCUAUGGCAGACCCAUAUACUGGGUCCCAGGCUGACAGUGCUCAGAAGAUAUUUGAGAGCACAAUAUCUAACUUCAUGUGACUGCAUGUGUUUAUUUCCUUUUUACUCCCUAGCCAUCAUAGCAAGGCAAAGGUCAUGAUGUUGUUUUUCUCAACUUUUCUGCUUUAAAAAGUCAUGUUUUAUCUAAUGCCUCCUGUUCCUGCUCUCCUUUUGUUUUCUAGAUCAUCUUCUCAGGUAAUAUGAUCCUGACCAGAGGGAGAUGGGUUGGGGCAUCUAUUCUAGUCCCCACCUGCCAGAAUAGGUGUCAGGUGGCUCCUCACCACUCUACAUCAUUAGUGUGUACAAUGGACACAGCAUUAUCUGAACUUCCAUGGCUCUAUGUAAAGCAUUCCAUUGUAUUUUAAUAAUUACGCAAGACAAGGCCUCUUUCACAUAAGGCAAAUAAGUGUGAUUGAUUCAGACUUCUGGCAUUACUGGGCCAUGCUGCCGCAAGAAACAGGUGCAUGUGGAAUCAAGCCUGACGGAGUUAUUGGUGUGCAGAAAAAAAAAAAGGAUUACUACUUAUCUGGUUUUUAAAGAUGAGAGUGUUUUAUCUGAUGCCCUGACCAAAUGAAACAACAACCUAGACUGAAGCAGGGAACAUUCGCUGGACAUUUCAGGCACUGUGCUAGGCUCUACAGUGAAGCAUUCACAGUCUAGUGGUGUCUAUAAAUAAAACCAAAAUGCUAACUUUUAAAUUCCUAUGAGGAAUAUAAUUGUAAUGCCACUAUAGCUGCAUCACUACCAUGGGGUCAUUCUCUCCCUACAGACAGAUCAAUAAACAAAAUCAAAUUACAAUCCAAA
rnacentral:lncRNA from 1 species